rnacentral:rRNA from 1 species
CCGUACGAUUGGAAGAGUACGGCCAAGCAGCAAGUCAGGAUGCGAGUCAAAUGUUUGCAUCCGGCUUGACAAGCUGUGAUGGGGAGCAAAAUAAAAGUAGCGAAGUUGCCGAUGUCACACUGCCGAGAAAAGCUUCUAAGGAGUAGUUAACUGCCCGUACCGCACACCGACACAGGUAGUCGAGGAGAGAAUCCUAAGGUGAGCGAGAGAACUCUCGUUAAGGAACUCGGCAAAAUGACCCCGUAACUUCGGGAGAAGGGGUGCUGGCCGCAAGGCCAGCCGCA